GCUAAACACUAACCAUGAAUCCAAGCUACAAAUCUAUGCAUUAGAACGGGUUUAAAUCCUAUUUUGGUCCCAACAAGUUGGUAUCGAUUUUUUCUUUUUAUUACUGAACUUUCAAAUGUUAUAUAUUUUAGUCCUUCUCACAUAUUUAUUUACGUGAUGAAUCCCGGUGUCAUACACCUGUGUUAUAGACUUAUGGGAACACUACCUGCAACCCCACUAUUUAUUCUGUUAUUGUCCUCUUUAGACUUUGCAAUGAUCUAAGCCCACUACUAUCUGCAGAUAUUGUAAGCGCACUAUUGUUAGCCGAUAUUGUAAGCCCACUAUUGUUAGCCGAUAUUGUAAGCCCACUAUGGUUAGCCGAUAUUGUUCUCUUUAGACUUUUCCUUAAGUUUUCACACCCUUAUUAAAAAUAUUUUUUAAUACUCUUUUACAUACCAACCUUAUCUUCAAUAAUGCCGUGAUUCAAUAGAACAUGUGACAAUUUUGGGUGAUUCUCUUUGCAUAUGGAACCAUGGAAACUUUCAUAUCAAAUGGCAGAAGCUUAUUCCUGUUAUAGUCCAUCUCAAUUGAAUUCCACGUAAUUUACAAUAAUGAAAAACACGUGCUUAUUUUACAGGUCUUGAAGUCUAGACGUAUGGUUUUAAAAAAAUCACUAACCGUUCCUUUUUAAAAAACUAAUGCUUCUUUCAAGUUUCUGUCUCUACUUCAAGCUUCACAGCCCCGGAUUUUCUCGCCGGCUCCGAUUCUAGGGUUUCUGUCCCGGCGAAUGCUGCUGCUGCUGUUGCUGUUGCUGUUUCUCCGAUGAAUCGGCCGCACUGCAACCAUCUUCAAUCCAACUCCAUUUCUAACUGCCACGAAUGCGGGAUUUCUCAGUCCGUAUGCUGGAUCCUCCACAAUGUCCGUUUCAAAGCCUCCUUCCGUCGUCUCUGCACCAAUUGCGUCCUUAAGAACAAUCUUUCCCGUUUCUGUCCUCUUUGCUUCGAUAUUUACGACGAUUCGACUCCGCCGUCGUCUCAUCAGCGAGUUAUGUGCUUCAGAUGCCCUUCAAUAUCUCAUAUCUCUUGCACUUCCUUUCGUUUUUCUUCUACGUUCCUCUGCCCUCUCUGCUCCGAUCCUUGUUUUGCCUUCUUCGACGGUUUCGACUCCGGCAGCCUUCGCCAAUCGGAGCUCGCCGUUUCCGUUUUGGCCGGUAGAGACGGUAAAUCGGCGAAGGCGAUUGUCGCUGCGGCUCGUGUCGUCGCUCAAUCCAUGCGAAGAGCGGCGGCUGACGCUAGGGCUGUAGCGGAGAUGAAGUUCAGGAAUGCUGUGUUCGCUAAGAAGCAGGCUACUCUAGCCUUGGAACGGCUUGCUUAUCUUGUACUUCAGGAGAAAGACAGAAAUGGAUAUGCUAAAACUAAUGGAAAUGCUGCUGCUGGUGCGGUGGAAGAAGAAGAAGAAACCGAGCUACAAGGUGAAGUGGUAACAGCCAUUCUUGAGCGUAUGAAGGCGAAUCAGACUCAGUUUUGACGAAGGUAGCUGAUUAAGGAAACAAACUGUAGAGUAAUCCUCUUCGACUCGCAUUCAAUCGAGUACCUCCAAGAUUCAGUUGAAUCAGGGCGCAGAGCUCUCUCUUCUAUCGGCCAUUUUUAUCAGAAUCUCAUAGCUUUUGAGGUAUGAAAGCCAUUGUUGCCGCCUUCAAGCUACAAGAAUCGCCACUGCGGAGCCACGGUGAACAUUUGAUAUUCAAAUACCAGUGGCGGCGGAACGGUGGCCAUAUCAAGACGCCGGCGGCGAUAGAUAGUGCUGAUUUCAACUAACAAAGUAUGGUUCUGCGGUGAAUUUUGUGAGAUACCAUCAUUUCGUUUCGUUUGAUUCAGAUUAUAGACCGAGUCUGCUCGAUUCAACUCGCUUCCAGUUAACCGAGUUGACUCACUGAAUUUCCCCGUCCAUAAAUAAUUUCUCUGAGUUGGAAAAAAAAAACCUCUUCUUUUUCCUUACAACUAGUAAAGAACGUUACUUUUGAGAAUAAUAUCUAUAAUUAAUUAAUUAGUGGGGUUUCGGGUUUCCCCCUUUUAUUUCCUUCCCACGAAAAAAAAAAAAAA